UGUCCCUUCGUGGACGUCUGAACGAUACAGAGAAGAUUAGCAUGGCCCCUGAGCAAGGAUGACACGAAUAAAUCGAGAAAUGGUCCAAAGUCCAAAUUUAU